rnacentral:rRNA from 1 species
GACGAACGCUGGCGGCGUGCUUAACACAUGCAAGUCGAACGAAGUGGCGAACGGGUGAGUAACGCGUCAUCCACCUCCCCUUCCGAGGGGGACAACAGUUGGCAACGACUCCUAAUACCGCCUACUGAAGUCGGUGUUUGCGUGUGAUUAGCUAGUUGGCGGGGUAACGGCCCACCAAGGCGAUGAUCAGUAGCCGGUCUGAGAGGAUGAACGGCCACAUUGGGACUGAGACACGGUCCAGACUCCUACGGGAGGCAGCAGUGGGGAAUAUUGGACAAUGGGCGAAAGCCUGAUCCAGCCAUGCCGCGUGUGUGAAGAAGGUCUUCGGAUUGUAAAGCACUUUAAGUUGGGAGGCGUUACCAACAGAAUAAGCACCGGCUAACUUCGUGCCAGCAGCCGCGGUAAUAC